UACAGAGGGGGCGAGCGUUAUUCGGAAUUAUUGGGCGUAAAGGGCGCGUAGGCGGCCGUGUAAGUCUCGGGUGAAAUCCCUCGGCUCAACCGAGGAACUGCCUUGGAUACUGCAUGGCUUGAGGCCGGGAGAGGGUAGUGGAAUUCCCAGUGUAGCGGUGAAAUGCGUAGAUAUCAGGAAGAACACCCGUGGCGAAGGCGGCUCUCUGGUACGGAACUGACGCUGAGACGCGAAAGCGUGGGGAGCGAACAGG
rnacentral:rRNA from 1 species